rnacentral:rRNA from 1 species
UCCUGUACUACCGAUAACCGUUUGAGAGAAGGGAUGACACAGUAGGAUAAGCUAAGCACACUGUUGGUUAUGUGUGCCCAAGCAUUGAGGCAGUCAAAGUAGGCAAAUCCGCUUUGAUAAUGCUGGGGUGUGAUGGGGAGCGAAAUUUAGUAGCGAAGUAGCUGAUUUCACACUGUCAAGAAAAGUCUCUAUCGAGGUUAAAGGUACCCGUACCGCAAACCGACACAGGUGGGGGAGGAGAGUAUCCUAAGGCCAGCCAGAGAACUGUUGUUAAGGAACUAGGCAAAAUGACCCCGGAACGUAGGGAUAAGGAGAGCCACCAACAGGUGGCCGCAGAGAACAGGCGCAAGAGACUGAUUACCAAAAACAUAGGUUUCUGCUAAGUCGCAAGACGAUGUAUAGGAGCUGACGCCUGCCCGGUGCUGGAA